rnacentral:lncRNA from 1 species
CCGAAUUUGGGCUGACCCAAAUCAAUAAACCCUCAAAUACCUAUUCAAAAUCACCCCUUACCCGACCCAAAACCAUCCCUUACCCGGUCCAGCCCCGUCCACCCAAACGAUGCCGUUUUUGCCUCAAUUCAUCACAACCGUGAAAUCCAACGGUCCGGAACUGGUUGGUACCUUACUAUAUCACUGUCUGAAAGAGUCG